UACGUAGGGCGCAAGCGUUGUCCGGAAUUAUUGGGCGUAAAGAGCUCGUAGGCGGCUUGUUGCGUCGGUUGUGAAAGCCCGGGGCUUAACCCCCGGGUCUGCAGUCGAUACGGGCAGGCUAGAGUGUGGUAGGGGAGAUCGGAAUUCCUGGUGUAGCGGUGAAAUGCGCAGAUAUCAGGAGGAACACCAGUGGCGAAGGCGGCCGCCUGGGCCUUUUCUGACGCUGAGCCGCGAAAGCGUGGGGAGCGAGCCGG
rnacentral:rRNA from 1 species